rnacentral:rRNA from 1 species
CCUACGGGAGGCAGCAGUGAGGAAUAUUGGUCAAUGGCCGGAAGGCUGAACCAGCCAUGCCGCGUGAAGGUCAGUGCCCUAUGGGCGUUAAACUUCUUUUGUGCGGGAGCAAUAAUGGUCACGUGUGGCCAGACGAGAGUACCGUACGAAUAAGCAUCGGCUAACUCCGUGCCAGCAGCCGCGGUAAUCCGGGGGAUGCAAGCGUUAUCCGGAUUUAUUGGGUUUAAAGGGUGCGUAGGCUGUGAGGUAAGUCAGCGGUGAAAUGCCCCCGCUCAACGGGGUGAAGUGCCAUUGAUACUGCCUGGCUGGAAUGCGGAUGCGGUGGGAGGAAUGUGUGGUGUAGCGGUGAAAUGCAUAGAUAUCACACAGAACACCGAUUGCGAAGGCAUCUCACGAAUCCGCGAUUGACGCUGAUGCACGAAAGCGUGGGUAUCAAACAGGAUUAGAUACCCCAGUAGUC